AAUCAUGGCCGACGUACUUGGAAAGUUGCCUCUUCACGAUAUUCGGUGCCGAAUCGGGGUCUCGGCGGUCUCGGCCUAGACAAUGCCGUUGUUUAAUUGCCGAGAACUGUGAAUUGUUGCGGCGGCGGAAAAAAAGGUCGAACGUUUCGGGGGCACUUUUGCUUGCGAACGGGAUUAUCAGGAAGUUGGCUAUACAAAAACUACGUGUCUUUGAACGUGUGAAUAUUCAUCGGUUGGUUUCGAACUACGCAAUUUGCUUCGUGGUUGGCUCUUUUGCAUGCACUUACCGGUAAAAAUUACCAUUAACAACUUAUUUAACGUCAUUUCAAAGUGCUUAAAUCUUAAGUAUUGUCAUUAAAGUAAUAAUAAAAACAAGAUUAU